rnacentral:rRNA from 1 species
CGGCGAGUGAAGCGGCAACAGCUCAAAUUUGAAAUCUGGCUUCGGCCCGAGUUGUAAUUUGCAGAGGAUGCUUCUGGCGCGGUGCCUUCCGAGUUCCCUGGAACGGGACGCCACAGAGGGUGAGAGCCCCGUAUGGUCGGACACCAAGCCUGUGUGAAGCUCCUUCGACGAGUCGAGUAGUUUGGGAAUGCUGCUCUAAAUGGGAGGUAAAUCUCUUCUAAAGCUAAAUACCGGCCAGAGACCGAUAGCGCACAAGUAGAGUGAUCGAAAGAUGAAAAGCACCUUGAAAAGGGGGUUAAAUAGUACGUGAAAUUGUUGAAAGGGAAGCGUUUAUGACCAGACUUGCGCCGGGCGGCUCAUCAGGGGUUCUCCCCUGUGCAUUCCGCCCGGCUCAGGCCAGCAUCGGUUCUCGUGGGGGGAUAAGACCGCCGGGAACGUAGCACCCUCCGGGGUGUGUUAUAGCCCGGCGGACGAUACCCUCGUGGGGACCGAGGUUCGCGCUCCGCAAGGAUGCUGGCGUAAUGGUCAUCAGCGACCCGUCUUGAAACACG